GUGACAAGUGCAGAGGACGUGUCCUGGUUCUUCUGGAGAUGCGGGAUGGCCUGAGAGGGUUUGGGUCUGGAAGGUCUGGAACUACCUACCUGAUGAGUGAAAUUGUGUGAAAGUCUGAGUCUCCUGUGUUGGCGAGGUCGUAGUGGACACACAGGCUUCACUGCCUGCAUUAUGAUUAAAAUGAACGAGUUACCUAGAUGAUACAACUUGGAGUUUUUAGUUUAUCACUGUGAAAAUACGUGGUGAUGUCACAUGUGGGACCAAUACAGCAAAUGCAGAUGCACAAAACACUCAAUGCAAAUAAUCCCUUUGAAGUCAAUGAGACAAUGAACAGUACUGAAGCUAAGCCUGUAUGCGAGUGUUUACAGAUCAAGGCCGAUGAUAUUUGCCAACUGGCUUCUCCAUCCAUUAAUGGGUUUUCCAGGAUUGCUGCUGGCAAGGGAAGCCCUAGAAGUACAGCUUUUUUACUUUUUAGUGUUUUAGUGUUAAUGCAUCACAAGGUAUCCACACAGAUGGCCUCUCAUGUGCUGGGUUUGUAGUUUCCAGGAGAGAAUAUUGGGAGCGGAGGUAUCUUUAUCUCAGUCUUUCAUAUUUUUACUAUCAGGAAACCCUAUCCCAGCCUUCUGCUUUAUUCUCUUCAGUGUGUAAUUCAGAGUUAAUUACACCAGAGCACCAGGACAAAAAAAAAUACCACAUUCAAAAUUAAAUCUGCCAAUUCUGUAAAAUAAUAUGGAACCAAAAUUUAAGGUUUUUUAAAAAUAAGAUUGUUCAUGCUGCUGUAUGGUAACUAAGAGUUCUUCCAUAGUGCUAGUAAGCAGGCAGAUAUAUCAAGUGUCAGAGAUACCUACUAAGAAAAAGAUAAUACUGCUACAGCUGAGAAUAUAUUUUCCAAAGGAGAGGAAGUACUAGAGAAACAGAAAUAUGUGCCCAAGAAGGUGCUAACUGACAUCACCAAGCAAGAUCAUCUCCGGAGAGCAGUUGCUGAGUUGGUGACAGGGAAACUCAUCCAAUCUCAGCUCUCAGGAGUGGAGUCCAGUGCUUCUGCAGGCGGUCAUUGGAGAGCUUCCUGCUCAAGAGGACAUUGUGCUUACAACCCCAAGCCAUUUGCUGCUCUUGGAGGACAGGGACUUUGCACAGGUUUCUGCAGUUCCAACAGAGUACACUCAUUAGAUUGAUCCCCUUUGAAGCCAAAACAAGAUUUUUCACCGAGUAACCCUGCAUGGACUGGCAAUGCCUCUUUCGAACCUCAGCAUAUCACAGAAAGCCACCUUCGAGCUCAAAGAAGCAGCAGCCAUAGCUGCUUGUUCUGAAAUCUUUUGCCAUGUGAGGAACAUGCUGGAACAUGGCUGAUGGCUCACUCAGCUUCAGCUAGGCUGUGGUCAUGCUCUGUGUGUCCUGGUGGUCAAGUAACCAAGUAAGUUGUUGAUCUGGGACCUGCAGUAUUUACAUGAACAGUAUUUGUUGCACACGGUGCCUCUGUUAGCCAUUCUUUUUCCCUUUCUCCUGGAAAAGACGACUGCAAAAAGACUCUGAGUCCACCAUAGAUGGCUCUUUUACAGUUUCUCCGCUGCUUACACCUUCCUUUGUCUAGAAGAACUGCAAUAGGAGAUCCUGAUCCAAAUAGCUACAACCUUGCUCAGUAGCACAGCACUUUCUUACCUGACAACAUACUUGGUGCGCUUUGGCUCCAAACUCCAAAUCCUUCCAGCCAUCUAGAAAAAUGAUAUUCAUUUUUGAAAGGUAAAUAAAAGGUUUUGCUUUCUUGAAAUGUGCUUCUAAUUAUGAACAAACUGGAUAAUAUUUUUCCUUGAAAGAUGCAUUUCUCUAGAUGUUUUGGUUUGAAGGCAGAAAAACAUCCAAGAACCUGAUGAAAAUUCAGAUAACAGUCAUGAAUCAGAUGAAGAA